rnacentral:rRNA from 1 species
GACGAACGCUGGCGGCGCGCCUAACACAUGCAAGUCGAACGGAGUCACGAGGAGCUUGCUUUUCUUGACUUAGUGGCGAACGGGUGAGUAACGCGUGAGUAACCUGCCCUGGAGUGGGGGACAACAGUUGGAAACGACUGCUAAUACCGCAUAAGCCCACGGAUCAGCAUGGAUCUGCGGGAAAAGGAUUUAUUCGCUCUAGGAUGGACUCGCGUCCAAUUAGCUAGUUGGUGAGGUAACGGCCCACCAAGGCGACGAUUGGUAGCCGGACUGAGAGGUUGAACGGCCACAUUGGGACUGAGACACGGCCCAGACUCCUACGGGAGGCAGCAGUGGGGGAUAUUGCACAAUGGGGGAAACCCUGAUGCAGCGACGCCGCGUGGAGGAAGAAGGUUUUCGGAUUGUAAACUCCUGUCGUUAGGGACGAUAAUGACGGUACCUAACAAGAAAGCACCAGCUAACUACGUG